UGAUAAAGAAAGGAAUUAAACCAAUGUGUACAGGACUACAGCCUGCCGCCUAAC
rnacentral:tRNA from 1 species